rnacentral:misc_RNA from 1 species
UCUCUGCUUUGCUUCGUCUACCAGACGCCAUGCCAUACCAUGAGAAAAUGGUCCAAGUAGAACAUAUUAUUGAUGUCUUGGAACUUAGACAAUGUCUAAAUACUAGAAUUGGAGAUGAGAUGAAGCGAGGGUUAUCUAAAGGGGAGAAGAAACGAACAAGUAUUGCGUGUGAGCUACUUACAAAUCCAACUACCAUGCUACUGGAUGAGCCAACAUCGGGCCUUGACUCCGGUGCUGCUCUCUCUCUCAUGUCUAUUUUGAAGAACUGUGCACGAAAAGAACAUAAAUCUGUUGUUGUUACAGUCCACCAGCCGUCCAGCCAGAUUUUCCACAUGUUUGAUCGUCUGCUUUUAUUAACUGACGGACAAGUCGCUUUCUUUGGACCUACACGAGGGAUUUUCGAGUUUUUCUGUGAAGUUGGCUUACACAUGACUCCACAUUAUAACCCUGCGGAUUUUAUCAUUGAACAAGUAAGGAAAAACCCAGAAAUACGAGACAAGCUUAUAAAAGCUGCCCCAAACUUCAGUGAGCUGAAAGAAGUUUGUGGUACUAUUGAAAGAAUUUCCUCUAUAUCUGGACUGUCUCAUUUGACAGAUCCUACAGAGGAUAUUGGAGAUUCUGGAGUAUCUUCUUCGUCCGACGCUUACAGCUCUGUUUUUAGCAGCGAAGUUUACCUUCCUGAAGAGGUUGAGAAGUGGCCCACGUGUUUCUGGACUCAACUAAAAGUGUUAUCUCGAAGAAAGUUUCAAGAAGCUCAUGGUCGAAUGCUCUCUAGCCUGAACUGGAUACAAACCAUUGGAUUAGGACUCGUGAGUGGACUUCUGUGGUUUCAAAUGGAAAGAACAGAAACUAACCUCUCUGAUAUUCAAGGAUGGAUGUUCUUCAGUAUCACCUAUUGGAUGCUAUUUGCGCUAUUUGGAGCACUUACUUCAUUUCCACUUGAAAGGGAAGUGGUCAACAAAGAAAGGGAGUCGGGUACCUAUAGACUGUCGGCUUACUGCUUGGCUAAAAUGAUUGGAGAAUUUCCUCUCACUGUUACUCUCCCAUCAGUGUUCCAUUUCAUCUCCUAUUCGAUGUUAGGGUUACAUGAUCCUCAGACCUUCCUGUGCCUGUGGGGAUUUCUUUUUCUAAAUACUGUAGUUGCUCAGAGCGCAGGGAUCCUUGUGGGAGCGCUGUGUGUUGAUCUUGAAGUGUCAGUAACUGUAUCGGCUCUGUAUUCCUUAUCAACGAUGCUGUUUGGUGGUUUUUACGCAAAGUCUAUCCCUUCCUGGCUACUGUGGUUGAAGUAUUUCUCCAUGGUUCAUUAUGCCGUUAAUAACAUGCAGAUUAUAGAGUUUGGUGGUAGUUCGCCUAUACGUUGCGCACCUCAAAAUUCGCAGUUCGAGCUAUGUCGCCAUGGAAACAAUUCAGUUAUUCCAGUUGAAGUCAUCAUUGAACAUCAAGGAAUGGUGCUCCCUCUGUGGGCAAACACUUUAAACAACGAGACUACAUGAGUGCAUCACUAUUCAACAAUAUACAGAUAGAACCAGUCAACCAAGAAAUCUCAUAUAUUUAUAUCCUAGCAAUGGAUAAAAUGAUAUAGAAGCUGUUUUCUGACUAGAACUCACCGCUCUCCCAUGCAGCAAGUCCCACACGCUUUGAAAGGAU